rnacentral:misc_RNA from 1 species
AACCUUAUGGACCUGCGGGCGUAUACCUGCGGAAGGAUCAUUAAAAAGAGUGUGUACCCCCCUGUAAAAUGGGUGGGUUACCUCCCGUCCUUUGUUGACCUCUUAGGAGGUUAUUUUGAACUUUUCUGCUUCGGUGGGGUUAAACCUACCGGAACACCCUCAAAUUCUGAUCAUUUAAAAAUUGUUCAGUCCGAUUUUUGUUAAUAAAAACAAAAAACUUUUAACAACGGAUCUCAGAUC